CCAUAGGUUAAUGAGGCGAACCGGGGGAACUGAAACAUCUAAGUACCCCGAGGAAAAGAAAUCAACCGAGAUUCCCCCAGUAGCGGCGAGCGAACGGGGAGGAGCCCAGAGCCUGAAUCAGUGUGUGUGUUAGUGGAAGCGUCUGGAAAGGCGCGCGAUACAGGGUGACAGCCCCGUACACAAAAAUGCACAUGCUGUGAGCUCGAUGAGUAGGGCGGGACACGUGGUAUCCUGUCUGAAUAUGGGGGGACCAUCCUCCAAGGCUAAAUACUCCUGACUGACCGAUAGUGAACCAGUACCGUGAGGGAAAGGCGAAAAGAACCCCGGCGAGGGGAGUGAAAAAGAACCUGAAACCGUGUACGUACAAGCAGUGGGAGCCUCUUUAUGGGGUGACUGCGUACCUUUUGUAUAAUGGGUCAGCGACUUAUAUUCUGUAGCAAGGUUAACCGAAUAGGGGAGCCGAAGGGAAACCGAGUCUUAACUGGGCGUUAAGUUGCAGGGUAUAGACCCGAAACCCGGUGAUCUAGCCAUGGGCAGGUUGAAGGUUGGGUAACACUAACUGGAGGACCGAACCGACUAAUGUUGAAAAAUUAGCGGAUGACUUGUGGCUGGGGGUGAAAGGCCAAUCAAACCGGGAGAUAGCUGGUUCUCCCCGAAAGCUAUUUAGGUAGCGCCUCGUGAAUUCAUCUCCGGGGGUAGAGCACUGUUUCGGCAAGGGGGUCAUCCCGACUUACCAACCCGAUGCAAACUGCGAAUACCGGAGAAUGUUAUCACGGGAGACACACGGCGGGUGCUAACGUCCGUCGUGAAGAGGGAAACAACCCAGACCGCCAGCUAAGGUCCCAAAGUCAUGGUUAAGUGGGAAACGAUGUGGGAAGGCCCAGACAGCCAGGAUGUUGGCUUAGAAGCAGCCAUCAUUUAAAGAAAGCGUAAUAGCUCACUGGUCGAGUCGGCCUGCGCGGAAGAUGUAACGGGGCUAAACCAUG
rnacentral:rRNA from 1 species